CUCCAAGUUACUGUCCAGAAGUACAAAAGAGCGCCUAUACUAUACAUACAUGCGACCCAUAGUGAUGUAUGCAUGUGAGACAUGGUCUAGCACCCAGUGGAGUGAAGAAAAACUACAGAGCUUUGAGAGGAAAAUAUUAAGGAAAAUAUAUGGACUAGUAUACAAUAAUGACUUGGAAAGAUUCAAAAGAAGAACCAAUGAAAACCUAUACUAGCUCCACAGUAAGUCUACAGCACUUCAUAGUCAGAAAGAGAUUGAAACGGGCAGGUCAUAUCUAGCGAGCCGAGGGUACACUAAUUAAGGUCACAGAAAGUAAGAUAACGGGGAAAAGACCAAGAGGCAGAUCUAGGCAAAUGAUGCAAUAGAAAAACAUCUAAAAGAAGUCAAUCCAUUUUUAGAUAUGGUAGCGGCAUUAUAUAGAGAAGGAAAGGCAUUCUAAAAGUGGUGGUGUUCCUGAAGAGACCGCUAUAAGCCUAGGAAGAAAAAAAAAAUUAAAGAUAGCAAUUUAUAGUUUAUUCUUUUGAAAAUUUUGACAUUUCAACUUUUUAUUUUCAUUUAAU